GAUGAAGAACGCAGCGAAAUGCGAUAAGUAAUGCGAAUUGCAGAAUUCAGUGAGUCAUCGAAUCUUUGAACGCACAUUGCGCCCUGUGGUAUUCCGCAGGGCAUGCCUAUUCGAGCGUCAUUUCAACCCUCAAGCUCUGCUUGGUGUUGGGCCCUGCCCGCUGCGGCCGGCCCUAAAGACAGUGGCGGUGCCGCCUGGCCCUGAGCGUAGUACAUCUCUCGCUCCAGUGCCCGGUGGUAGCCUGCCAGAACCCCAACUCUCGUGGUUGACCUCGGAUCAGGUAGGGAUACCCGCUGAACUUAAGCAUAUCAAUAAGCGGAGGA
rnacentral:misc_RNA from 1 species